GUAUAUAAUAUAUAUUUUUGCAAAGUUCCCCCCAGCACACAAAUAAAUAAAUGUCGAAUAUUGUAAGCAGGAAGGAAAAGAGUAUCACAGAGACAGUCAUUACGAAAGCCGUAUUGAGUUUGCAGCGGAAGUCACUCUUAAUAUCAGCUGUAACUGAUAUGACAGCUGAUUUAAAAAACUGCCACUGCCACUGCCGCUGCGAUAUUAUGUUUUGGGCUUGAAUUUUCUUUGAGCUCGGAGAAACUUUCUCGCUAGUUUUACAAUAUGCUUAAAUAAAAUAGUAGUUAUAUUCACGAGUACUUCUUAUGCUAAGUGCUCACGUAUAUAACAUGGUCUUCCUUACAAAAUACUAAGGAGGAUAUGUGAAGAAGAUGACACUUUUAAAUGAACAACUUCAACAAAGCAAACAUAUGUACAUACUAAGAAAAACAUAAUACGACAGUAGCGGCUGUCGUAAUUAUGAUACACAUUUUUGUCGAUGUAAGAGCAGCUGUAAUAAGUAUUCGAAAAUCAGACAUCUGGCACGCACAUUUAUGUUGAAACAAAACAAGAGCGGUAAUAAUAAAUAUAUCAUAACAAAAUAACAGCUACAUGAAUGAUACAAAAAAAAGUACAGUAUUUCCUGUAAGAGUUCUGCCAAUAAUUAUUAUGUCGCUUUAACAUAAGAUGACCAACAAAUUGAAAUAGUUUAUGAGUAAAAAAUUAUAUUAAAGCGGUAGUCUAGAAAAGUGCUCGUUACCACAUCUACAUAUGUCAACUAGUGUAAUAUGUAGCAAAACAAUAAUUCUUUGAUAGCAAAUGAAAUUUUAAAUUCAAUAUACCUUGGAUGUAACUUUUUAACAUUAUUCAAUUUUGUUAUACUAAACGCCACAAUUCCUUUGCAUAGAAAAGAAAAACUUAAAAUAUUUUUGGUGAUUUAGUAGAUAAAGAUGUUUUAGAACUAGUAAACAAUGCCCUUUACUAUUAAUACUAAAACCAAACGGUGAUUUACGUAUAUGUGGGAAUUAUAAAGUUACCAUAAACGUAAGUAAGGUAACUCGUUUGCUAGAAAAACAUGAAGACGCAAAACCACAAAUUGGAGGAGGAGUUCGGCCGAAAAUCGCUUCAGUAAUUACAAAGCACAGAUUAUGUAUAUAUAUCUUUACGUACCCAAUGUUGUUGUUUGUCAAGAAGUCGUCAAAGUUUUCGAUGAAGAUUAGGCGAGCACAUCCGAUAUAAAGCACAGUUUCGUCUAAAGAACUGGGAAAAACAAACGAAUUUCUUUGAUGGUGACAGCAAGAAUGCAACUAAAGGAAUUUGGACUGUUCGGUUUUAAAUACAAAAUCGAAUACAUAAACGCAACAUUAAAUGAAGCUGACAAUUGGUCAAGACUUUCACAACAUGAGUAUGACCAACGUAACAAUGCGAAAUCGUUCAGAUGCCAAAUCAAAGCUCAAAAUAUUCUUAAUUUCAAAGCGACAAAGGUAAAAAAAUGAAAGGUGACCAUUUUCGUCUCUUCUAAACAUCGGAAAAAUUUUGUCGUUUCGGAAAUGUAAAUAAAAUUGGCACCCAUCGACAAAGGCCAACGCGAAAACUUCGUCAAACCUCUGAAGAAAAUGAAACGAAUUUCAAUGCAGUCUUGAACAGCUUUUUGAUGGAUGAUACUACCAUUACUACAAAAUAAUCGCCCGCUAAGCUAAUGUUAUGCAGAUCUGUUACGACUCGGUUGGAUUUGGUUAAAUCACCUUUAAUUAGCGACAACUGUUUACAAAGCAAGAGAAAGAUAGAGACACUAUCGUGGCAAGAGAAAAUGGUUAUAUUAAAAAUGUUAAUGAUAUCUCCAGCGACAACUCAAUCUAGUAUUUGUCCGCGAAGUUAUCAUUAAAAUCACAAUAACAAGUUAAUUAAAAGACACGCUGUUCAAAUGAAGAUACUCAGGCGUUGAGUAUGAAGACGAAAUUUUCGUGACCUUUCACCGGGAUAUAACAACACAUGUAUAUAAUUUUCUGUUUUAUUAAUGUCUACUAAUUUUUUUUUACAUUGAUUUUUCUUCCCACCUUUUCUUAACAUUAAAUUGCUUUUCGUGCUUUCAUUUUUAUUAAUUUUUUUGAUUCACUCAUGUUCUUUGAUUACCUUAUCAAAUUCUUUACUUACAUUGGCAGUGGGUAGCGGCUUGUGGUUUGAGGAACUAAUUAUAUACGUGUAAGUUCGCAAACAACAUUGUCAUCAAGGGUAAAGACAUAAGGUUCUUUUGCAUCCUGCUUCUCACCUGCAAAAACACUUCCUCCUUCUUUCGAAGCUGGUUUUAGUGGAUUAAGAUGUCUACGAAUAAUUCUAUCUUUUUAUAAACAGUUAUAUGACAAUGCUCCUACCUAUUUUAUUUUUGUAGCCAGAGACUAUUUUAGCUUAUUCAGAUUGAUAUAGUCACGAACAUGUACUUUCUGCCCUGGAGUUAAAUUUAUUAAACCUUUUCCUCUUAUGAUCCUCAAUACUUUUCUCUUGACUUUGUAAAUUUUUCUCAAAUGUAGUUCUAACGGAUCCGUCUAGGAAAAGCAUUAUUGGUGUUUGCUUGGUGAAACAAUGAGCUGUGUUUUGGUAGUCUAUCAGAAAUCUGUUAAAUAUGAUAUGAAAGCUCUGGCCCUUAAGGUUUUCCUAUCUAUGAAUUUUAAAAAUCAUGAAUGCGAUUACUGUUUGUUUAAUGGAAGGAGAUAUUUCGUCUUCUCCUCGUUCACUAAGAGACCCAUUUGCUUCGCCUUUUUAUCAAGUCUAGAGGAAGCAGAACUAUGUAUUUGUACAUUCUUGUAAAAUAUUUUACCUUCUCUAUUCAGCUCUGCAGCUCUUAUUAUAUCCUUAAGCUUCAAACUGAUAUCACACGAUCGGAGAGUUCUUUCAACUCUGACUGCGCUUCUGGUGUUGUUUAGCGUCAGUUUACACAGCCGUAUAAGUCUUGCGGGAAUACUAAAUUCAGACAAAGCGUCGUAUGGGCAGCUCCUUUUCGUGCUAUCGAAGGCUGCUUUAAAAUCAACGAAGAGGUGGUGAGUCUUUUACAAGAUUUCGAGCCUGGUACAAAGCCACACAGAUAGGGUACAGUCGGUUUGUAGGUGGGCUUCAGCUUUUCGCAAAAUACGAUUAAUAGGAGUUAAUAAGCGAUGUUAAGGAGGCUUAUUCCACGGUAAUUGGCGCAGACUGUGGUAUCGCACUCCACCGCCAUUUUUGAAUAGCACUGUCGGUAGACCGCAAGCUCCAUACGCUUUGUUGUUCUUGAAGUAAUUGCGUUUUUAAUAAUACAAAAGUAUUUUUUAUUAUAUUAUAUUAUAUGUGGUUAGGCUCUUUUGUUGUUUUUGUGCUAGAGGCGGUUUUUGUUGUGCUAGUGUAGGGCAACGCGUUCACCCCAUUAAGGUAAUCGCUUCUUUAAUUUUAUUGUUAUUUAAAUUUUUUUGCUUUUCUUUCCCUUUAUUCCACGGUAAUUGGCGCAGACUGUGGUAUCGCACUCCACCGCCAUUUUUGAAUAGCACUGUCGGUAGACCGCAAGCUCCAUACGCUUUGUUGUUCUUGAAGUAAUUGCGUUUUUAAUAAUACAAUAGUUUUUUUCUAUUAUAUUAUAUUAUAUGUGGUUAGGCUCUUUUGUUGUUUUGGUGCUAGAGCCGGUUUUUGUUGUGCUAGUGUAGGGCAACGCGUUCAUCCCAUUAGGGUAAUCGCUUUUUAAUUUUAUUGUUAGUUAAAUUUUUUUGCUUUUCUUUCCCUUUGUUUAAUUUAUAAUUUAUCUUAGUGAAAAUAUAUGUAUCUUUUUCUAUCGAGUAUACGUUUUCUGUUUUUUCUUUUUCAUGGAGAUAAAUCGUUUGGCACAGGCUGAGAUAUACGCUUAGAGCGUCGCGUCUUCUAGAGAAUAAAUGUUCGGUAGACCUAUUGCAGGAGUAGAAAGGGGAGGUGAAUCGAAUAAUCAUAAAACUCAGAGAUACGAUCAAGCAGUGUGACCAGCUGCAACAAACGCAUCGAUAUAAUUUAGUUUCACUAACAAGAAAACUUAUCUCAACGAAAUGAAAUCGUUCAUUGUAAACGUUAUCUUUAAAAUGGCUCAUUGCUAUGAUUAACGUUUAACAAUUUUAAUGUAAAUAUUUUCAAAUGUUUCAACCGAUUCGAUUGAAAUUUUACUAUGCAGAUUUUUUAUCAUCCGCUUCUGGGAAUGAGGACACUGAAUGAAAAACUUCGAGCUGAACAACAGAGGAUUUAAAUUAAUAGAAUAUUCAAACGAUAAAAAAAUAUGUAGCGGCUUAGAUUUAUACUAAGCCGAACUACAAGAUGAAUGCUGAAUAAGGAAUAGAUGAAACAAUUAGCUUGAUCUACAGCUAAAUGUACCAGAUGAUACAUAUAUCAAAAAGACUAUAUAAUACGAAUUUCCCAUUUACAAAGCAUUUUCAAUUCAAAUCAGCACAAAUAAAU